UGGCGGACGGGUGAGUAACGCGUGGAUAACCUGCCGUAUACAGGGGGAUAACACUUAGAAAUAGGUGCUAAUACCGCAUAAGCGCACGGCUCCGCAUGGAACAGUGUGAAAAACUCCGGUGGUAUACGAUGGAUCCGCGUCUGAUUAGCCAGUUGGCGGGGUAACGGCCCACCAAAGCGACGAUCAGUAGCCGGCCUGAGAGGGUGAACGGCCACAUUGGGACUGAGACACGGCCCAAACUCCUACGGAAGGCAGCAG
rnacentral:rRNA from 1 species